rnacentral:sRNA from 1 species
GAGUAUGUAAGAAAGCACUUGGGGUCGAAACACGGCAAGACUCCCAGGUGCUUGUCU